GAUGAACGCUAGCAGCAGGCUUAACACAUGCAAGUCGAGGGGCAGCAUGAGGGUUAGCAAUAACCCUUGAUGGCGACCGGCGCAAGGGUGCGUAACGCGUGAGCAACUUGCCCGUUUCUGGUGGAUAACCGGUGGAAACGCCGACUAAUACACCAUGGUAUUGAGUUUAGGCGUCUUUACUCAAUUAAAGAAUUUCGGAAACGGAUAGGCUCGCGUGACAUUAGUUAGAUGGCGGGGUAACGGCCCACCAUGGCAACGAUGUCUAGGGGUUCUGAGAGGAAGGUCCCCCACACUGGAACUGAGACACGGUCCAGACUCCUACGGGAGGCAGCAGUGAGGAAUAUUGGUCAAUGGUCGGAAGACUGAACCAGCCAUGCCGCGUGAAGGUCGCGGCCCUAUGGGUCUUAAACUUCUUUUGUAAGGGAGCAAUAAGCCUCACGUGUGGGGUGAUGAGAGUACCUUACGAAUAAGCAUCGGCUAACUCCGUGCCAGCAGCCGCAGUAAGAC
rnacentral:rRNA from 1 species